rnacentral:rRNA from 1 species
GUUUGAUGUUCUAACGUGGACCCGUUACCCGGGUUGCGGACAGUGUCUGGUGGGUAGUUUGACUGGGGCGGUCUCCUCCUAAAGAGUAACGGAGGAGCACGAAGGUUGGCUAAUCCUGGUCGGACAUCAGGAGGUUAGUGCAAUGGCAUAAGCCAGCUUGACUGCGAGCGUGACGGCGCGAGCAGGUGCGAAAGCAGGUCAUAGUGAUCCGGUGGUUCUGAAUGGAAGGGCCAUCGCUCAACGGAUAAAAGGUACUCCGGGGAUAACAGGCUGAUACCGCCCAAGAGUUCAUAUCGACGGCGGUGUUUGGCACCUCGAUGUCGGCUCAUCACAUCCUGGGGCUGAAGUAGGUCCCAAGGGUAUGGCUGUUCGCCAUUUAAAGUGGUACGCGAGCUGGGUUUAGAACGUCGUGAGACAGUUCGGUCCCUAUCUGCCGUGGGCGCUGGAGAACUGAGGGGGGCUGCUCCUAGUACGAGAGGACCGGAGUGGACGCAUCACUGGUGUUCGGGUUGUCAUGCCAAUGGCACUGCCCGGUAGCUAAAUGCGGAAGAGA